AUAUAAGUACUUUAAGCCCAUGUAACUGUUAUAAGGAAUCAAAGAUAAUACAUGCUGCUUAAGGAAAUAACUCUGUUCGUUUUCCUACAAGAAAUGAGUAGAUUUUGUUACUUGAGGUCACCACUAAGCUUUCAGAAACAAGUAACAGAAAUGCUCCAAGGUGCUUCUACAAUGGAGUGUUUCAGAGCUCAGACUCUGAGGUCAUAAAGGGCACGGGUUCAACUCCAGACAAACCACUUACUGGCCAUGAUUAAGUGGCUAACCCUUUUCUCUCCAAGUCUCUUUAUCCUCCAGUAAAAGAGGAGUGACAGAAUACACCUCCCAGGAACUGUUACAAGGAUUGGUGAGAUAACACAAGCCAGAAGAGAUAACACCAUCCACCUGCUCCAAGGGGAGGUGACAGCCACAAGCUCAGCAUUUGCAGCCCUCCUAUACCCUGCCCUUAUGUGUCUUCCUUUGACUGGUACUAGUUUGUAUCCUUUUCUUGUAAUAAAUGUGACUAUGAGCAUAAUAGCUUUUAGUAAGUUCGUGAGUCUUUCCAGUGAAUUGUCCUGUUAGUAGGGGUAUUGCCCUGAUGUGCAUUAAGACAGAUCUCCAACUUGCCUCCUUCUCUUGUAAUACAUGCUACUCAAAAGGACUGUAUGUAAUGAAGAAUCCAAAGAGGUGAUAAGACUGCUUUGGUUAAGAGAUACCGAAUGAGGUAUAAAUAUUGAAGAGAACGCUUCUUUGGUGAAGAGACUCAUAUUCCGAUAAUUUGGUCUACCUUAAUAAUAUUACCCAUUUAUGUAAUUCUACUCCAAGAUCAUAAGAAAAUAUGCCUACAGACUGAAAGUAUUCAUGCUAGUUUUUUAUAAGAAUGGUUUCAGUAAACUAACAAAUGAACCCAGCAUUCAAAUACAGUCUGAAUUUUGCUCUACGUUUAGUGAGGGAAAAACUGCCCAAAAGAAUAAGUGUAUAUGGGGGAAAAUAUUUUUUAAUCCUACCAACUUCCAACAUCCCUCUGGCAAGACGUGGACUGAUAUAUCUGAUAAUCAAAAAAAUUAAAUAGUGGCGUGGUGGCUCACCCCUGUAAUCCCAACACUCUGAGGGGUCAAGGCGAGCAGAUCACCUGAGGUCAGGAGUUCAAGACCAGCCUGGCCAACACGGUGAAACCCCGACUCUACUAAAAAUACAAAAAUUAGCCGGUUGUGGCCAGGUGCAGUGGCUCAUGCCUGUAAUCCCAGCACUUUGGGAGGCCGAGGCAGGUGGAUCACAAGGUCAGGACAUCGAGACCAUCCUGGCUAACACAGUGAAACCCC
rnacentral:lncRNA from 1 species